rnacentral:rRNA from 1 species
UACAGAGGGUGCAAGCGUUAAUCGGAAUUACUGGGCGUAAAGCGAGCGUAGGUGGCUUGAUAAGUCAGAUGUGAAAGCCCGUGGCUUAACUGCGGGAUUGCAUCAGAAACUGCUUUGCUAGAGUGCAGGAGAGGUAAGUGGAAUUCCUAGUGUAGCGGUGAAAUGCGUAGAUAUUAGGAGGAACAUCAGUGGCGAAGGCGGCUUACUGGACUGUAACUGACACUGAGGCUCGAAAGCGUGGGGAGCAAACA